rnacentral:rRNA from 1 species
ACUCCUACGGGAGGCAGCAGUGGGGAAUUUUGGACAAUGGGCGAAAGCCUGAUCCAGCAAUGCCGCGUGCAGGAUGAAGGCCUUCGGGUUGUAAACUGCUUUUGUACGGAACGAAAAAGCUCCUUCUAAUACAGGGGGCCCAUGACGGUACCGUAAGAAUAAGCACCGGCUAACUACGUGCCAGCAGCCGCGGUAAUACGUAGGGUGCGAGCGUUAAUCGGAAUUACUGGGCGUAAAGCGUGCGCAGGCGGUUAUGUAAGACAGAUGUGAAAUCCCCGGGCUCAACCUGGGAACUGCAUUUGUGACUGCAUGGCUAGAGUACGGUAGAGGGGGAUGGAAUUCCGCGUGUAGCAGUGAAAUGCGUAGAUAUGCGGAGGAACACCGAUGGCGAAGGCAAUCCCCUGGACCUGUACUGACGCUCAUGCACGAAAGCGUGGGGAGCAAACAGGAUUAGAUACCCUGGUAGUCCCAUG